rnacentral:rRNA from 1 species
GAGUUUGAUCAUGGCUCAGGAUGAACGCUGGCGGCGUGCCUAAUACAUGCAAGUCGAACGAACAGAUAAGGAGCUUGCUCCUUUGACGUUAGCGGCGGACGGGUGAGUAACACGUGGGUAACCUACCUAUAAGACUGGAAUAACUCCGGGAAACCGGGGCUAAUGCCGGAUAACAUGUUGAACCGCAUGGUUCUACAGUGAAAGACGGUCUUGCUGUCACUUAUAGAUGGACCCGCGCCGUAUUAGCUAGUUGGUGGGUAACGGCCUACCAAGGCGACGAUACGUAGCCGACUUGAGAGGGUGAUCGGCCACACUGGAACUGAGACACGGUCCAGACUCCUACGGGAGGCAGCAGUAGGGAAUCUUCCGCAAUGGGCGAAAGCCUGACGGAGCAACGCCGCGUGAGUGAUGAAGGUCUUCGGAUCGUAAAGCUCUGUUGUUAGGGAAGACAAAUGUGUAAGUAACUGUGCAUAUCUUGACGGUACCUAACCAGAAAGCCACGGCUAACUACGUGGCAGCCGCCGCGGU